GACAUGCAAGUCGAACGCACCUUCGGGUGAGUGGCGGACGGGUGAGUAACGCGUGGGAAUCUGCCCUUAGGAGGGGGAUAACGGCUGGAAACGGCCGCUAAUACCCCAUAUGCCGAGAGGUGAAACGAAUUUCGCCUGAGGAUGAGCCCGCGUCUGAUUAGCUAGUUGGUGGGGUAAGAGCCCACCAAGGCGACGAUCAGUAGCUGGUCUGAGAGGAUGAUCAGCCACACUGGGACCGAGACACGGCCCAGACUCCUACGGGAGGCAGCAGUGGGGAGUUUUCCGCAAUGGGCGAAAGCCUGACGGAGCAACGCCGCGUGAGGGAUGAAGGCCUCUGGGCUGUAAACCUCUUUUCUCAAGGAAGAAGACAUGACGGUACUUGAGGAAUAAGCCACGGCUAAUUCCGUGCCAGCAGCCGCGGUAAUACGGGAGUGGCAAGCGUUAUCCGGAAUUAUUGGGCGUAAAGCGUCCGCAGGCGGCUCUGUAAGUCUGUUGUUAAAGCGUGGAGCUCAACUCCAUUUCAGCAAUGGAAACUACAGGGCUUGAGUGUGGUAGGGGCAGAGGGAAUUCCCGGUGUAGCGGUGAAAUGCGUAGAUAUCGGGAAGAACACCAGUGGCGAAGGCGCUCUGCUGGGCCAUAACUGACGCUCAUGGACGAAAGCCAGGGGAGCGAAAGGGAUUAGAUACCCCUGUAGUCCUGGCCGUAAACGAUGAACACUAGGUGUCGGGGGAAUCGACCCCCUCGGUGUCGUAGCCAACGCGUUAAGUGUUCCGCCUGGGGAGUACGCACGCAAGUGUGAAACUCAAAGGAAUUGACGGGGGCCCGCACAAGCGGUGGAGUAUGUGGUUUAAUUCGAUGCAACGCGAAGAACCUUACCAGGGUUUGACAUCCUGCGAAUCCCUUGGAAACUUGGGAGUGCCUUCGGGAGCGCAGAGACAGGUGGUGCAUGGCUGUCGUCAGCUCGUGUCGUGAGAUGUUGGGUUAAGUCCCGCAACGAGCGCAACCCACGUCUUUAGUUGCCAGCAUUCAGUUGGGCACUCUAGAGAGACCGCCGGUGAUAAACCGGAGGAAGGUGUGGAUGACGUCAAGUCAUCAUGCCCCUUACAUCCUGGGCUACACACGUACUACAAUGCUACGGACAGAGGGCAGCAAGCUCGCGAGAGUUAGCAAAUCCCAUAAACCGUGGCUCAGUUCAGAUCGUAGGCUGCAACUCGCCUACGUGAAGGAGGAAUCGCUAGUAAUCGCAGGUCAGCAUACUGCGGUGAAUACGUUCCCGGGCCUUGUACACACCGCCCGUCACACCAUGGAAGUUGGCCAUGCCCGAAGUCGUUACUCCAACCCUUGUGGAGGAGGACGCCGAAGGUGGGGCUGAUGACUGGGGUGAAGUCGAAACAAGGUA
rnacentral:rRNA from 1 species